CCUACGGGAGGCAGCAGUGAGGAAUAUUUGUCAAUGGGCGCGAGCCUGAACCAGCCAAGUAGCGUGAAGGAUGACUGCCCUACGGGUUGUAAACUUCUUUUAUAAAGGAAUAAAGUGAGGCACGUGUGCCUUUUUGUAUGUACUUUAUGAGUAAGGGUCGGCGAGCUCCGUGGCAGCAGCCGCGGUAAUACGGAGGUUCCGAGCGUUAUCCGGAUUGAUUGGGUUUAAAGGGAGCGUAGAUGGGUUGUUAAGUCAGUUGUGAGAGUUUGCGGCUCAACCGUAAAACUGCAAUUGAUACUGGCAGGCUUGAGUACAGUUGAGGCAGGCGGAAUUCGUGGUGUAGCGGUGAAAUGCGUAGAUAUCACGAAGAACGCCGACUGCGAAGGCAGCUUACUAAACUGCCACUGACAUUGAUGCUCGAAAGUGUGGGUAUCAAACAGGAUUAGAUACCCCAGUAGUC
rnacentral:rRNA from 1 species